rnacentral:lncRNA from 1 species
AAAAAGUCAUCAAUGAACACAUUCAGAAGGUGACUAGCCUCCCAGGAGGACAGAGAGUCACUGUGCACUCAUUGGCAGAGAGAUGAGCAAGCCUGCCCCUUCCCAGGAGCACCAGAGGACGCGCCCUUCAUGGGCAGCGGCACCAUCUUGCUCUACAGCAGCAUCCACCUGGCCCCGCUCGUGCCUGCCUCUGAGGAACAGCGAAGCAACACUGUUGAAUCCCUGAAGGAAAGGCGGAGUGAGCCAGCUGCGGCUCCAUGGUCGGACCCCCUUCCCCAUGUGGCAUCUUCUGCAAGAACCACUGGCCCUGUCUUUGACAUAUUUGACUUUGUGGACAUGGAGUUCCAAUUGCCACCUUCAAAGAGUCCAGGGCUGGAGAAAAGAGGGGACACAGGGCUUCCUUCUGAAAUACCCUCCCUGAAAGAUGUUCAUAUGACAAGCCUGCCCUUGGGCCAGAAUCAUGGACCAGGCUGUGGUACCAGCUAGGGACGUUCCUCCCUGGCUCUUCCCGACUUUUGAAGGAAAGCCAAGCUUGCUGUUUCCCUAAGGCUACCUGUCCCUUAAGCUCUUCACCAAACACAAAGGGAUCUUUCUUUUAAAAUGAAGAAGCUAAAUAUUUUAUUUGGUUCUUAUUUUACUGCAAAGCGGUUUCUUCAUUGUGUAAAAAUAGCACCAGCGAAUGCAGCAUAUUGUACAAUUAAGAUAGUAUUGUUCUUCAUCUGACGCUGUACAACCAACACGUUGCUCCAUUCCUAAGUAUUUCUAGUCCAAAGAUCAUUAAGUAUUUUGAAACAAAUCCAGGGAUGGAUUUGAGCAAGUUGCAAAAUUAUAUAAGGAUAACAGGGUUAUCUUUGAAUCGCAUGAUUUUUAAAGGUAGUUUUGAUUAUGGAUAAUUUCAUGAAUUCUGAAUACCAGAGCUUAGAGUUUGCUCUAAAAAUCAUAAGGUGUUUUUUUUUUAAAGGUAUAUAUUUUAUUUAUCUGAAAUUGUUAGGAAGGGAAGAAUUUUCUUCCAGGAGCAGUGUUGAGAGUAGUUUCUUUCCCAUUGAUAUUUCUGAAAACAGUUCCUAUAACCCUUCUGUCCCCCACUAACUUAAGACAGCUAUGCUGGAAUAGGUGAUUUCACACCAGUUUAUUUAGGCACCUGCUUACAGUAGGCUUACAGUAGGCUUACAGAUUUUAUGUAUUUUUUUUUAUGUAUUUCUCAUAUUCUGCACUUACUAGGCAUCUAGUUCUGAAAGGUUACUCAGUGUCAUCGUUAUCAGCUAGCGAGCUGAUAAAGGGGUUUGUUGACAGCCCUGGAUUUUCUGCAAGUGCUUCAUUAAUUUCUGAUAUUUCUUGUGAUGAAGGAACACAGAGUUCCCUGGCAGCUUGUACACUUUCCAAAGCACCAAACUCAUCUUGCAUUUUCAAUUUUGUCCCAACUAACGGUGACCACAAUAAAUAACAUCUCCCAAAUCUUCCUGGGCAAAACUGCUGGUCCCUCUGUUCUGAGGCCAUUUUCUGUUGCUGUUUGUUCAUGUUUCUGUGUGAAUGUGACCAAGGACAGAGCGGGUCUGGGGUGCAAUGCUGGGACAGUGCCUGCCUUCGGCCACCAGGGCCACACUCCUU